AGAGAGAGUCACCAUUGCCGCCAUCACUUGGGGGACCGAUAGGGAGAAGCUGAUGAGAGACGCAGACAACUAGACACUAC
ensembl:ncRNA Y37A1B.337 ncRNA